UUUCCCCCUUGGUAAAAUUCAAAGAGAAUCCAACUCUUCAGCACCAUAAGCCCUGACUUGCAAGGAUGCAGAAAUGCCUAUGUAGGGAACUGGCUCUGGAAAUGGAGGUCAGGUUCAAGGAGAACAGAGUGGGUCCUACAGAGAGAAGCUUAUGACAUCAUCACAACCAACCAUAGUCAAGGAGGGCUGAUUCUGUUUGCGAAACAUUUUGAGCCGAUCAUGAAACAUUAACCUGAAAGUGAUUUAUCAGGGGAUCCUGCAGAGAUGAAGGAAGUGCCGCUCAGAAAACUUGAGUGACUUUUUACAGGCACACAUCAGCAACCAGAAAAUCCAGGGCUUGAGCCUGACUCUGCCUGCUUCCAGACACCUGCUGUUCCCCUUCACCACGCUCCUUUCCCCACCACCCAUCCUCCCCCGGGAAAGGCAGUGAGCCACUCCCCGCCAUGGGUCUAGACUUUCAUGGCCUCUUACCACCAGUAAAAUGGAAACAACCUCUUUAUUGGUAUCCUUGCCUCCUGCCUUGUCCCCACAUCCAUCCAGUCUCUCUGAGAUAUAAAAGCCAUGACACGCUCCCUUCUUAACCUCUUGCCUUCAGGAUCACAUCCAAAGGCCUUAUCUGGCCCAUCAUGCCCUUUUGUAGUCUGCUCAAGUGCAUUCCUGUCCGGUCCACACUAUUCCCUCUCU